rnacentral:tRNA from 1 species
GGCCUUCUGGCGCAAUGGAUAACGCGUCCGCCUACGGAGCGGAAGAUUCCAGGUUCGACCCCUGGGAAGGUCG